UUAACUGAGAAUUUGAUCUUGGUUCAGACUGAACGCUGACGGCGUGGAUGAGACAUGCAAGUCGAACGAAAUAGUGAGCAAUCACUAUUUAGUGGCGGAAGGGUUAGUAAUGUAU
rnacentral:rRNA from 1 species